rnacentral:tRNA from 1 species
AACAUAAAAAGAACAAAUGAGAAGCUUCUAACUUCAUAUUAGCGGUUAAAUUCCGUUUUAUGUUU